CAAAUAUUCCAUAUAACUUUUAUACUGAAUAUUAUACUUACUUUUCACAGAUUUUGUUUUUUAAGUAACUUAUAUUGCUUCUACACAUAAGCAUUCCCUUAUACUUUACAAGGAUUGGAAGAAACUACAGCAUGGUUUUUUGAGGGUCCUCCUCCUUGCCCCUAAACAUCACACAGAGUUCUUGUUCUGCAGUUCCUGUUCAUACUGGUGUUGAUUUCCCUAAGCAAAGAAAAUAACAUGUUGCUGUUGAGAACUUCUUGCUUCCUCUGUGUUGGAGAUCCUGCUUUCCUAGAGUACUUCAAAUACCGUUUGCUUGGUCUCCCAUCCCUUUAGAAGAGAACUGGAUGCAACUCUGCUAGCCUUGCUGUUGUGCAACAGUCUUUGAGUGGAUUGUCAAGUUGACCU
rnacentral:lncRNA from 1 species